GAUCCUGGCUCAGGAUGAACGCUAGCGGCAGGCUUAACACAUGCAAGUCGAGGGGCAGCACGAGGUAGCAAUACUUUGGUGGCGACCGGCGCACGGGUGCGUAACGCGUAUGCAACCUACCUUUAACAGGGGCAUAACACUGAGAAAUUGGCACUAAUUCCCCAUAACAUUCGAGAAGGCAUCUUCUUGGGUUAAAAACUCCGGUGGUUAAAGAUGGGCAUGCGUUGUAUUAGCUAGUUGGUGAGGUAACGG
rnacentral:rRNA from 1 species